GACGGGUCGCUGGUCUGAGAGGACGACCAGCCACACUGGCACUGAGAUACGGGCCAGACUCCUACGGAGGCAGCAGUGAGGAAUAUUGCGCAAUGGGGGAAACCCUGACGCAGCAACGCCGCGUGUGGGAAGAAGGCCUUCGGGUCGUAAACCACUUUUGCACGGGACGAAAAAAGGGAUAUCGAACAAAUAUCCCCCGAUGACGGUACCGUGAGAAUAAGCCACGGCUAACUCUGUGCCAGCAGCCGCGGUAAGACAGAGGUGGCAAGCGUUGUUCGGAAUUACUGGGCGUAAAGAGUCUGUAGGUGGUUUGUCAAGUCUUUGGUGAAAGGCCGUAGCUUAACUAUGGGAAUGCCAAAGAGACUGGCAGGCUGGAGGCUGGGAGAGGGAAGCGGAAUUUCUGGUGUAGCGGUGAAAUGCGUAGAUAUCAGAAGGAAGG
rnacentral:rRNA from 1 species